rnacentral:rRNA from 1 species
UACGUAGGGUGCAAGCGUUGUCCGGAAUUAUUGGGCGUAAAGCGCUCGUAGGCGGUCUGUCGCGUCGGAUGUGAAAAUCCAGGGCUCAACCCUGGACCUGCAUUCGAUACUGGCAGACUAGAGUUCGGUAGGGGAGACUGGAAUUCCUGGUGUAGCGGUGAAAUGCGCAGAUAUCUGGAGGAACACCGGUGGCGAAGGCGGCAUCCUGGACCGGCAUUGACGCUGAGGCGCGAAAGCCAGGGGAGCAAACGGG